rnacentral:rRNA from 1 species
GACGAACGCUGGCGGCGUGCUUAACACAUGCAAGUCGAACGGAAAGGCCCUGCUUUUGUGGGGUGCUCGAGUGGCGAACGGGUGAGUAACACGUGAGUAACCUGCCCUUGACUUUGGGAUAACUUCAGGAAACUGGGGCUAAUACCGGAUAGGAGCUCCUGCUGCAUGGUGGGGGUUGGAAAGUUUCGGCGGUUGGGGAUGGACUCGCGGCUUAUCAGCUUGUUGGUGGGGUAGUGGCUUACCAAGGCUUUGACGGGUAGCCGGCCUGAGAGGGUGACCGGCCACAUUGGGACUGAGAUACGGCCCAGACUCCUACGGGAGGCAGCAGUGGGGAAUAUUGCACAAUGGGCGGAAGCCUGAUGCAGCAACGCCGCGUGCGGGAUGACGGCCUUCGGGUUGUAAACCGCUUUCGCCUGUGACGAAGCGUGAGUGACGGUAAUGGGUAAAGAAGCACCGGCUAACUACGUGCCAGCAGCCGCGGUGAUACGUAGGGUGCGAGCGUUGUCCGGAUUUAUUGGGCGUAAAGGGCUCGUAGGUGGUUGAUCGCGUCGGAAGUGUAAUCUUGGGGCUUAACCCUGAGCGUGCUUUCGAUACGGGUUGACUUGAGGAAGGUAGGGGAGAAUGGAAUUCCUGGUGGAGCGGUGGAAUGCGCAGAUAUCAGGAGGAACACCAGUGGCGAAGGCGGUUCUCUGGGCCUUUCCUGACGCUGAGGAGCGAAAGCGUGGGGAGCGAACAGGCUUAGAUACCCUGGUAGUCCACGCUGUAAACGGUGGGUACUAGGUGUGGGGUCCAUUCCACGGGUUCCGUGCCGUAGCUAAUGCUUUAAGUACCCCGCCUGGGGAGUACGGCCGCAAGGCUAAAACUCAAAGGAAUUGACGGGGCCCCGCACAAGCGGCGGAGCAUGCGGAUUAAUUCGAUGCAACGCGUAGAACCUUACCUGGGUUUGACAUGGAUCGGGAGUGCUCAGAGAUGGGUGUGCCUCUUUUGGGGUCGGUUCACAGGUGGUGCAUGGCUGUCGUCAGCUCGUGUCGUGAGAUGUUGGGUUAAGUCCCGCAACGAGCGCAACCCUUGUUCACUGUUGCCAGCACGUUAUGGUGGGGACUCAGUGGAGACCGCCGGGGUCAACUCGGAGGAAGGUGGGGAUGACGUCAAGUCAUCAUGCCCCUUAUGUCCAGGGCUUCACGCAUGCUACAAUGGCUGGUACAGAGAGUGGCGAGCCUGUGAGGGUGAGCGAAUCUCGGAAAGCCGGUCUCAGUUCGGAUUGGGGUCUGCAACUCGACCUCAUGAAGUCGGAGUCGCUAGUAAUCGCAGAUCAGCAACGCUGCGGUGAAUACGUUCCCGGGGCU